rnacentral:miRNA from 1 species
AUAAUUUGGAGGAAUAGGAACC